UACGUAGGGGGCAAGCGUUGUCCGGAUUUAUUGGGCGUAAAGAGCGUGUAGGCGGUUUGGUAGGUCCGCUGUGAAAACUCGAGGCUCAACCUCGAGACGCCGGUGGAAACCAUCAGGCUAGAGUCCGGAAGAGGAGAGUGGAAUUCCUGGUGUAGCGGCGAAAUGCGCAGAUAUCAGGAAGAACACCCGUGGCUAAGGCGGCUCUCUAGUACGUGACUGACGCUGAGACGCGAAAGCGUGGGGAGCGAACAGG
rnacentral:rRNA from 1 species